rnacentral:snoRNA from 1 species
UCACAAUCCGCGAGGAGGAUGUUGUCGUUCUCUCCUGAGCGUGAGGCGGGCGGCGGCGCUGCCUGGGCAGGAGCCGUUGUCAUCGAUGACCGUUCCCGGAGUAUUCCGGGAGGGAGAGAACGCGAGCUGAGCGGG